AAGUCGAGGGGCAGCAUGAUUUGUAGCAAUACAGAUUGAUGGCGACCGGCGCACGGGUGAGUAACGCGUAUGCAACUUACCUAUCAGAGGGGGAUAGCCCGGCGAAAGUCGGAUUAAUACCCCAUAAAACAGGGGUCCCGCAUGGGAAUAUUUGUUAAAGAUUCAUCGCUGAUAGAUAGGCAUGCGUUCCAUUAGGCAGUUGGCGGGGUAACGGCCCACCAAACCGACGAUGGAUAGGGGUUCUGAGAGGAAGGUCCCCCACAUUGGUACUGAGACACGGACCAAACUCCUACGGGAGGCAGCAGUGAGGAAUAUUGGUCAAUGGCCGAGAGGCUGAACCAGCCAAGUCGCGUGAAGGAAGAAGGAUCUAUGGUUUGUAAACUUCUUUUAUAGGGGAAUAAAGUGGAGGACGUGUCCUUUUUUGUAUGUACCCUAUGAAUAAGCAUCGGCUAACUCCGUGCCAGCAGCCGCGGUAAUACGGAGGAUGCGAGCGUUAUCCGGAUUUAUUGGGUUUAAAGGGUGCGUAGGUGGUGAUUUAAGUCAGCGGUGAAAGUUUGUGGCUCAACCAUAAAAUUGCCGUUGAAACUGGGUUACUUGAGUGUGUUUGAGGUAGGCGGAAUGCGUGGUGUAGCGGUGAAAUGCAUAGAUAUCACGCAGAACUCCGAUUGCGAAGGCAGC
rnacentral:rRNA from 1 species